UAGUUAAGCAACUUCUUUUUUAUUUAAAUGAACUGGGAAACUGGGAAUUUUCUCAAAUUAAAAAUAGAAACUUUUAAAAAUUUGCAGUUCUGAACAUUACAUAUACACAUAUGCUACAUACUGGCAAUUAGAAAUGUUUCCAUUUAUGACCUAAAAAUGAAAAGUUUAAGGUUAUUCCAGGUUAAAGACUGGUAUCACUUUUCAGCAUGUCUUAAAAAUUACAUGACUGUUUGACAGAAUUACCCCUACUUCAAGCCAAUGAACCUUGUUGGAAACAAAGUUAACAAUACUGAUUGAUAUAUGAAGAGACACUAUUUUAGAUCAAUAUACACAAUUAAUUCACUCACCUUAAUGUUUUACUCUAGUAACAACAGAGAUACUUUUGGGCCUUGUUGAUGAAUUCUGCUGUUAACUAAUUCAGCAAUGCAAUUGUAUGCCUAAAUUCAAGGCAGUAACUCUAGUAGUAGAAAUGUUACCUCCAACUGUGAAACACAUUUGAAUUUCAGUAUUAGAAAUCAUAUUUUGAAAUUAUUUAGCAAAAAUAGUAUCGCUGCCCCCUGAAAGAGCCACAGCUUAACAGUGGUACUAUUAAGAACAUCACAGAAGUCAAUGUGAAUGAGGAAAAGGGAGGCAGAAGACAUAAAGCAUUCUAAAAAUCACCCACAUAUGGCAUUUCUCAUGCUCUUUUUGAGUACUACUGAACUCUAGAAAGCUUAGCUUUUCCACUAUAUUAUGCAUCACGGACACUCCCAACCCUCCCACCCGAAGAGUUUCAAAACAAACUUCUCCAAAAAUGUCCCUUUUAGGUCUACGCUGCGAAACCCACUAAAUAUUAAAUAAUUAAAAAAAGAGGGAGAAAAACAAAACUGCAACUGAAGUUCUUGGAGACACAAAGAGACACUGUGGAUCCCAUUACACUUCAAAUUUAGUCCAAAGUGAUCAUUCAAGAGCACCAAAUAGCAACACUGAUCAUGCUGGUAAAUUCAUUUGUGAAGAGCAUUAUACAAUAUUAAAAUCUUAACUAAACACUUAAGUUUUAAGAAAAAUGUAUAUACAAAAGUCUCUGUAUACAAAAUGUAUUUUUAUGUAAACGUGUAUGUACUGUGUUUAACACAAAUCAACAAUUUAAGAACUUGACCAGUUAUCAGAGGAUUGCUAGGUAAAGACUGUUAAUCUAAUUAAUUUCUAUACUGUGAUGUAAGGUAAAAAGCCCAGUGUAAAAAAGUAAAAAACGAAAA
rnacentral:lncRNA from 1 species